UACGAAGGGGGCUAGCGUUGCUCGGAAUCACUGGACGUAAAGGGCUCGUAGGCGGCCAACUAAGUCAGACGUGAAAUCCCUCGGCUUAACCGGGGAACUGCGUCUGAUACUGGAUGGCUUGAGGUUGGGAGAGGGAUGCGGAAUUCCAGGUGUAGCGGUGAAAUGCGUAGAUAUCUGGAGGAACACCUGUGGCGAAAGCGGCUCACUGGACCACAACUGACGCUGAGGCGCGAAAGCUAGGGGAGCAAACAGG
rnacentral:rRNA from 1 species